UCUCAUUAGUAGUUGCAGCACUUUUCAAGGAUAUACCUGACGUUGAAGGAGAUGAAAAGUUUGGCAUUCGAUCUUUAGCAGUACUUUUGGGUCAAAAACAGGUAUUCUGGAUUUGUGUUUCACUACUUGAAAUGACUUAUGGAGCUGCCAUUUUAUUUAUGGCAACGACAUCCUUUUGCCUCUGGAGCAAACUUAUCCUGGUGGUGUUU